AGAGCCCGCCUACGGUCUAGGAUGGAUGUCGGUGGUGCGUUCAACAUACGUAAGCUGAGUGGAUGACCUAAAAUCCGUCCCCGAACGGCGAGUGGCGGACGGGUGAGUAAUAUGUAGGAAUUUGCCCAGUUGAGGGGGAUAACAGUGGGAAACUGCCGCUAAUAUUGGAUAAUCUGUAGAGGGGUACGGAGGGGACCUUCUGGCCUUCUGCCAUAGGAUGAGCCUGGGGUGUAUUAGCUAGUAGGCGAGGCAACGGCUUACCAAGGCGAUGACCCCCAGUUGAUCUGAGAGGGCGACCGGCCAUACUGGGAUCGAGAUAUGGUCCAGACUCCUAUGGGAGGCAGUAGUAGGGAAUUUUGCGUAACGGGUGAAAGCCUGAUGGAGUAAUGCCGCGUGUGUGAAGAAGGCCCUCGGGCUGUAAAGUACUUNCACCAGGGAAGAAAGAGCAUUGUUUAAUACGGUGGCAUUCUGACGUUAUUCAAUGAGAAAGUACCGNCCAUCAUGGUGCNAGUAGUGGGGCAAAUAUCANGCGGUAGUGCCGCUUGGAACCUACNGGGCGNAAAGGUUUNGUAGGCGGCUNCCNAACCCGGCGCGAAAAUCUNUGGUCUAANUUCGGGNAGNGACUCUNNAACUGGCGAUUCCACCUUAAAAAAGAAAAUGGAACCUUUUCUCCANAACCCGGUAUACGGAGGGNCANNNUUNUUGGAANNUGGGNUUAAGGNCCCCAGGGUUUUNAACNAAUUUUAAACCCCGGNNNNACCUGGGAUGNCCUUUUCNANUUGGCANGUAANANUNUNNUAAAGGGGGUANAAUUCCAGGUGNAACGGUAAAAUGCGNAAAGNNUGGAGNAAUACCGGUGGCGAAGGCGGCCCNUUGGNCGAAGACUGACGCUCAGGCACGAAAGCGUGGGGAGCAAACAGGAUUAGAUACCCUGGUAGUCCACGCCGUAAACGAUGUCUACUCGGAGUUUGGCGUCUAGAACGCUGGGCUCUCAAGCUAACGCAUUAAGUAGACCGCCUGGGGAGUACGGCCGCAAGGUUAAAACUCAAAUGAAUUGACGGGGGCCCGCACAAGCGGUGGAGCAUGUGGUUUAAUUCGAUGCAACGCGAAGAACCUUACCUACUCUUGACAUCCAGAGAAUUUUCCAGAGAUGGAUUAGUGCCUUCGGGAACUCUGAGGCAGGUGCUGCAUGGCUGUCGUCAGCUCGUGUUGUGAAAUGUUGGGUUAAGUCCCGCAACGAGCGCAACCCUUAUCCUUACUUGCCAGCGGGUGAUGCCGGGAACUGUAGGGAGACUGCCGGUGAUAAACCGGAGGAAGGUGGGAACGA
rnacentral:rRNA from 1 species